ACCUACACAACACUGUUGAUCACAUCUUUGUGAGUUUAAUGCUUAUAUAGUAAUUACAUGCAAUACAAGUGUUUUUAAAGAAUGGUCAUGCUACUCACGGUAUAUGGAAUCCUAUUGAUAACAAUUAUACAGACGGUUGGUGUGAAGACACAGUUCUCCAGGAGUGGAUACUAUAAAGCUGCUUCAUGCCCAAGAAAUGCAUUUGAAUGGGAAGCAUCGUCACG